rnacentral:misc_RNA from 1 species
GAUUUUAUUGGUGCUUCCAUCACUAUAAUAGCUGUAUUUGUGGGAAUGUGAACCUAUACUUGGGGAAAUAAUCAAAAUGGUAGUAGCAUGGCACUAACUUAGUGCUCCAUUGUGUCUGUACUGAUUAAAAAUCUAACUGGUGGGGUCUAAAUUCUAUCGGCUUACACAAAUUUUCAAACAUUCCACUUCAUAGUGAAGUUUUUUGCAAGUUGCUUCAGUUUCCAUACGAUGAAUGUUGCAGAGCUUAUGAUAUCUGACACUAUAAUUCUUUUAGUUUUCUUUUUGUUGAUUUUCAUUGUCUAUUUGGUGAAAUUUCAUUGGGUUUAAGGCUUAACUUAUUAUCAUGUAUUUUUGCUGUGUCUUUGGUGACAAACACAGGAAUGGGACUCACAAGAAGCAU